rnacentral:lncRNA from 1 species
UUCUCCCUUGCCGAGCUGCAGCACUUCAAUGGGGUUUAGGACCUGCACAUUCUCAUGGCCACACCAGCAAGGGCAAAGUGUUCAGCGUGACCAGAGGUUGCAAGUUCCAAGGGCCAGGGGGCCACACAGGAUCUUUGCCGAAAGAGAUACAUCCAGGGGCCCUGCCACAUUUUGCCUGGAUAAGGGAGCACUGCAGGACAAGCAUGAUGACCUUUCUGACCUCCCUCCUGCCCAGGAGGAGACCCUGAGUGACUGGGCCUCUCAGUUCACAUUCAAGUAUUCUCACCUGGAUAAACUGCUGAAGGAUGGGAGGUACCCACUGUGGAUUCAGAUAAGGAAGAACCAAAAGAUGAGAAUGUACAGAAAA